rnacentral:lncRNA from 1 species
CGAGAAAUUUCAACUUUGAUAAGAUGACUCAUACAUUGACCAAUAUAUUUGUCAUAAAGGCGACUGAUAUAUCAUUAUAUUAGUACAUAGUGCUAGUGUUAUUUAUGGAUUUGACCAUUUUUGACCUACAACUAAACAAUUUCCUGGAUAACAUUUUAAUUUAAUUUCUUAGAAAAAACUUAUAUACCAGAUGUAGUAUAAAAAUAGCCUUUAGUUCAAACAUAUUUUAAUAACAUCGCCUGUACAAAUUUAAGUCGCAUACUAUGAUUUAAUAUUUAGUUACGAGUAUAGCACUUCGCUGCAAUUAUUGUUUUGUGAUUAUUGGCAUUUUGUGGGCUUGACAAUAAAACAUUUGCAAUGUCUUCUCAGAGUACCAUGGAUCAGGUAUGAUGGCAAAUAUAAUAUAUGCAUCCAUGAACAAAAAAUAGUAACUUUGUUCUUAAUUUUAAAAUUCUUAACUUAUUUUUGAAAAUUUAUGUAGUUGCAAUACACUUAUGCCAACGUUUUUUGCAAUCCUCGAAAUAGUCGUUAAAGUCAAUUUCCGGAAUCGCCCUCAAUGCGCGUAGCGAUUCACGUCUUCAAUUGGCUCAAAAGCUUGGAGUUUUCUGAAUAGUUAGAAGUCAAAAUUCCAAAUUAGGCUUAUUUCAAACAUCACUAUUAUUUGGUGUGUAAAUAACUAAUAAAGUAAAAGUGUGGCCAUAAUCUACUUUGAAUUUCUAAAUGUCAAAAACAGAUCUUUUAUAAUCGUAUACGGCACUGAGGACACUUGUUAAAAAAAAAUCAUACACUGAUCGGCAUAUUCGGCAAAACGUCUGUUAGAAUUACGAAAAUCAUGUAUGAACCUAUUAAAAAAUAGUUGUAUUAAUUCGUAGAUCAAUCUCACGAUAUUGGGUAUUAAACUAUAGUGUAUAACACUUUUGCUAAGAUAUCUUACAUAUUAGCCGAAAUAUAUAUGUAAUAAAGGUCAACCAGAAGUUGAAAAUCUUACAAGUAUAUUAGGUGUCGGGCCGAUAGGGGUGUGUUAACCCGGUAUAAUCUCUUUUUGGCAGAAAUACACAUUGUAAUUGAUUUCUGGAUUAAGCUUCUACCUUAUAACUUAAUCUUGAGUUCGAUAACUGGAUUGUUAAAUAAUUUAAUUGUUAAAUAUAUAUAUAUAAUAAUAAUUGUUAAAAGUUCCAAUUUACUGGUUAUGCACUUAUCCUUAUUUUACUUCCAAAAACUUAAUCUUGAAAAUGUCUUAAUGACUCGUACUAGAACUGUGUCUACCUUAAAGGCACUAUUUGCACAAAGGCUCCUAAAGGUGGAUGAAAGGAAACAGAGUUUUUUCCAAGCUUCGCGAUCUAAAAUUGCUCAUCUGCAGGAACAUAAAUUUCAUCAGAUAAUAUUUAGAAUUACGUUCUAAUAAUUUGCUUUGAUUUUAUUUAUUAACGGAAACCAAUAUACUUCUUUUCAUUUUAAAAGUGAGUAAGAUAAAUCAAAUGACAGGAAUGAGAAUUAAAACUACGGCAUAAUUUAUUCAUGAAUUCAUAAUUUAUGUCAUGGAACAAAAUUUGUAAUGGUUUUGGGUCUCACGGAAACCAAUUUUAUAGGUUUUGCUACCAGAAACAAAGCAGGAAGAUAGUCGCUGAAAAUCACCCGUAAUAGGAUUUGAAAUUCUACAAUGCCGACAAAAGACGAAUGUGAUUUUUCCACCUAUAAAAC